rnacentral:rRNA from 1 species
ACCUCAGUAACGGCGAGUGAAGCGGUAACAGCUCAAAUUUGAAAUCUGGGUCUUUCAGGCUCCGAGUUGUAAUUUGUAGAAGAUGCUUCGGGUGCGGCUCCGGUCUAAGUUCCUUGGAACAGGACGUCAUAGAGGGUGAGAAUCCCGUAUGUGAUCGGCCGCUUGCGCCCAUGUGAAGCUCUUUCGACGAGUCGAGUUGUUUGGGAAUGCAGCUCCAAAUGGGUGGUAUAUUUCAUCUAAAGCUAAAUAUUGGCCAGAGACCGAUAGCGCACAAGUAGAGUGAUCGAAAGAUGAAAAGCACUUUGGAAAGAGAGUUAAACAGUACGUGAAAUUGUUGAAAGGGAAGCGCUUGCAACCAGACUUGCGUGUUGUUGAUCAUCCGGGGUUCUCCCCGGUGCACUCGACCUCACUCAGGCCAGCAUCGGUUUCGGUGGUUGGAUAAAGGCCUUGGGAAUGUAGCUCCUCUCGGGGAGUGUUAUAGCCCUCGGUGCAAUGCAGCCUACCGGGACCGAGGACCGCGCUUCGGCUAGGAUGCUGGCGUAAUGGUUGUAAGCGACCCGUCUUGAAACACGGACCAAGGAGUCUAACAUCUAUGCGAGUGUUUGGGUGUCAAACCCAUACGCGUAAUGAAAGUGAACGGAGGUGAGAACCCUUAAGGGUGCAUCAUCGACCGAUCCUGAUGUCUUCGGAUGGAUUUGAGUAAGAGCAUAGCUGUUGGGACCCGAAAGAUGGUGAACUAUGCCUGAAUAGGGUGAAGCCAGAGGAAACUCUGGUGGAGGCUCGCAGCGGUUCUGACGUGCAAAUCGAUCGUCAAAUUUGGGUAUAGGGCGAAA